AAGGAAUAUUGGUCAAUGGACGCAAGUCUGAACCAGCCAUGCCGCGUGGAGGAUGAAGGCCCUCUGGGUUGUAAACUUCUUUUAUGGGGGACGAAACCUCUUUUUCUAAAGAGACUGACGGUACCCUAGGAAUAAGCACCGGCUAACUCCGUGCCAGCAGCCGCGGUAAUACGGAGGGUGCAAGCGUUAUCCGGAUUCACUGGGUUUAAAGGGUGCGUAGGCGGGCAGGUAAGUCAGUGGUGAAAUCUCCGGGCUUAACUCGGAAACUGCCGUUGAUACUAUCUGUCUUGAAUUCUGUGGAGGUGAGCGGAAUAUGUCAUGUAGCGGUGAAAUGCUUAGAUAUGACAUAGAACACCAAUUGCGAAGGCAGCUCACUACACAGCGAUUGACGCUGAGGCACGAAAGCGUGGGGAUCAAAC
rnacentral:rRNA from 1 species